GGGCCUGCCGCCGCCACCGCCUCAGGGAAGAGGAAGGAGGCCGCGGCUUCGCGUCCCGCCUCUCGCCUGGCUGGCCGUGGGGGGCCUGGACGCAGUGGCCUCCCGAAUCUCCCAGGACCCUAAUAUCGCCCGAGGAUGCUGGGAGGAACGCUGAGCCGACCUCUCCGUUAGGCUGAAGAUUGCACAAACCAUGCUAAUGGCCAGCAUGGAUGGAGGGAGCGUGUGAGAUGUGUGGGGCAGCGUGCUGCAUCUCAGCCAACUCCAGGAGCCAGUUGAUGUGAUGGACUACCUUAAUUGAUUUUUGAAUGUUGAGCCAGCCUUAUGCAUGUGGGAUAAACCCCUGUUGAUCAUGGAGCUCCCAGGCCUCUACAGUUUGCUGGGUCCCAUUACUUUCUGAGACAGGAAGCAUGCUCAUGGCAAUACCCGGAGUCUCCACUGCAAGACCAGAGUGACGGAGGCAGCAGAGCUCCUCAGCAGGCCAGGAGUCUCCAGAGGCACUGCCGAAUGUCUAAGAAGCAACCUCAUUGUAUUCCCAAGACCUGGGAAUCCAGGUCUCGCAGAUACGAUGAUACAAUCUAUAGCCAGGACAUCUCUUCAUGUGUAGUUUUCAAUGAAUACUAGGAUAAGCAACUAUCCCAGUCUUCCCAGGAUUGAGGGGCUUCUCCAGAUGCUGCACUUCUGGUGCUAAAAAUGAGAAACUGAAAUGAAUUAGUCACCCAAGGAAUGCUGACCCUGUGCUAUAUGAUCACAUUUACUCUUUAAAGCAAUGCUUUGAGAACAAUUGAGCUGCAUAGUCCCUGCAAUCUUAUAAAGGCAUUUGGCCUGGAAGAUGCUCUGCAGCCAUGUGCCAAGAAUAACGGCUAUAGGGACAAUGUUUCAUUAACCCCAAAGCAGCAACCUGAACCUCUUACUGUACAAUAUCUGCUCCGUUCAGAAUUAGCUCGACUUGAGUCACAGGAUGAAGCUUACCAAAAGGAAUUUCCACGUCCAAGGAAGGAACCAAGAUCACUGAGAGGUUAUAGUAUGAAAAGUGAAGAGAAAAAACCUAUUCUAAACAUUUUAUUAAUUGUCAAUAAUUAUUUUAAAAUAUUUAAUAUAGUCUCCUACCUGGUCCACUGGCAUCAAGCUGCCAAAUUUACACGGUCACUUUGGGAAGCCAGCUGGCAGGCAAACAUGGAAAGUGCUGGCUCCUAGCGUAGUGAGAAGACCACAGAUAGAUGGUAAUUUUCUUCUUUGUUUUAUUUUUCUUUUUCUUCUCUCCCUCUUUUUCUUCCCUCUUGCCUUUCCCUCCCAUUGCCCACUUUCUUUUUUUGGCUGCCGAAGAUUUAUUGCCUUUCAGUACUUAUAGAUGAUGUUUUCAUAAGUUCUAAUGAGGUCCCAGCAGUUUUUAACAAUAACAGGACAUUACUGUUCCUAAGAUAUAUUAUGUGUUUUCCCUCAUCUUUCUCCCUUGAAUGAAAUGCUUAGAAGUAGGCUAACCCCCAAUUCCCUUCCCUUUACUAUGAUAAAUGGCUCCAUUACUUAAUAGGGCUAAAUACUCUGCUGUGACUUUUAUACUGCUGAUUUGAAUAAAAUCUUACGAAAAGCU